AUUGAACGCUGGCGGCAUGCCUAACACAUGCAAGUCGAACGAGUGGCGGACGGGUGAGUAAUGUCUGGGAAACUGCCUAAUGGCGGGGGAUAACUACUGGAAACGGUAGCUAAUACCGCAUACCAUCGGAUGUGCCCAUAUGGGAUUAGCUAGUAGGUGGGGUAAAGGCUCACCUAGGCGACGAUCCCUAGCUGGUAUGAGAGGAUGACCAGCCACACUGGAACUGAGACACGGCCCAGACUCCUACGGGAGGCAGCAGUGGGGAAUAUUGGACAAUGGGGGCAAGCCUGAUGCAGCCAUGCCGCGUGUAUGAAGAAGGCCUUCGGGUUGUAAAGUACUUUCAGCGGGGAGGCGGUACCCGCAGAAGAAGCACCGGCUAACUACGUGCCAGCAGCCGCGGUAAUUC
rnacentral:rRNA from 1 species